AUAUGAUCCAGCAAUUCUGCUCUGGGAAUACAUCCAAAGACAAGCUUCUUUAGAGAGAUGAAGAUGGUUACCACCUGCAUCGUAUGUGUUUAAGGGCCCAGGAAAGCUCACUGCUCUCUAGAAUACUUUUCCAUUCAUUGGAUGACGUCAGAAGUACCAUAUUCUGGGCUUUGGGCCUUUGCGAUGGUAGAAAAGAAUGGAAGAAUCAGAGCCCUUUAUAA
rnacentral:lncRNA from 1 species